AUAGAAAAACAAAACCAGACUAUAGAAAAACAAAACCAGACUGUAGAAAAACAAAACAGACUGCAGGAAGACUGAGACUGACUGAAACAGACUAUUAAUGACUAUUAAAGGGAAGACGACUAUUAGAGAGAAGUAAUAAUAAUUACUGUACGUACCAGACUAUUAAAGAAAAACUAAUUCUUUCACUGUCUUGUGCAACAUCUGACAGCAAGACACCUUAACAUUCAUCUUUGCUUUCAAACUUGUGCCCAGUUAAAUUUUUAGGAAGAGAUCUCAUGUAGUUUAGAUAUUUGAUUGAUUUCCACUCCAGACGGAGUGCAGGUUACAUCUACAGACAUUCUAAAUAAUCCCUCUUUUGUUGGUGUUAACUUCAGCUCAGCUGUGCUCUUAUCAUUGGCUGCUGAGGGGGGGCUGUAACUGAGGCCCUCACACAGGCUGCAUCACAGCUUGUUUAUGAUUUCACACACACACACAAACUGACCUCAACUUCCCUCUUUUGGGAUGAACACAGGUCUGCGCUUGCGAUUUCUUUUACUAACGAACAAAAAGAUUUUUGAUGUUUAUUCUACAGCUCCACACGUCCCUCUGUGAAAACAUGAUGGAGACAGAUGCAGGACGUGGGUCCUUUCGUGAACAGAUGUGAACGGGGUGGAGACUGGUGAACGACUUCUGACCCCAUAGGACGCUCUGACCCAACACUCAGCCUUACAGGAAGCCCUGCUUCCCUGUGGCUCACACACAUAUGAUGUAGGUUUGAUCAGAGGAUGUGAACUAGUGGUCAUCACACCUAAAUCUGACCACAAACCAUGUAAACAACAACACCCUCUUAAAGGAAGCCAUAGAUGGCGUUACUGCAGACACCACUAAGCUACAGAAACAUUGGAUGCUACAGGCCACAAAGAGAGCCUGUCUAAAUUACAGUUAGUUCAGACAAAGGUUAUUUUCUGGGUCAUUGUAAUUACAGCUGAUGGCAAAUCCAUCUCACCCAACAGAGUUGAAGCAAUUUGAAACCUGCCUAAACCGUGCACGUAUAAACAGCUGAUGUCUUUUCUAGGUCUUUGUUCUUAUUGUAGGACUUUCGUUCCUAACUUUACUGUCUUUGAGGCCCCACUCAGGGUUCUGAUGCAGACGUCUUCAUCGUCCACUUCUUGUCUCACGUGGACGUCUGAGGCUGAACAACGUUCACUGACCUCAUGCUUGCUCUUCAGUCGACUCCUACUUUGGGUCUUCCUGAUCUGACCCUAUGCGACCUUUCACUCAAACAGUGGAUGAGAAAUCAGGUUGUACGACUUCUGUUCUUUGUCCUCAUACUGUGUCUUUGAUUCUUUUGGAAAACAUCACAUCUUUCCACAGCUCGACGGCUUAGAUACAACACCACCUUACUCAACUUGCUGAACGUUACUAUCAAGACGUCGUCUUGAAGUCUGGCACUUUGCUAAGACACUACUCUGCUCAGGCUGCAGAGUUGAUUGCGUUGACUGAAGCUAUUAAACUAGCAGAAGGAGAGUCUGUUACCAUCUACACAGACUCACAGACGCUCUGUGGAAGCAUAGGAAGCUUUUGAAGUCUGAUUGCAAACCUAUCUUAGUUCAUGAUUAGGUUCUGCUUUGCUGGACGCUGUCCUGCUGCUUACAGCUAAUGCUGUUUGUAACUGUCCGACUCACAACAUCAGUGAUGACUUUGUUUCUGCCGACAUGCAGCUGCAGAAGCUGCUGCGAAGGUCACUGCCCAACAACCCCUCCCUCUCCUGAUCCUCGUUUCCUCUCCUGAUCCUUGUUCCCUCUCUCCAACUCUCUCUAUCCUUUCCUUCCUCAUCUCCCUGUGCUUUAAACAUUUUCUACCUCACAGGAACGCAGACUCUGGCUGACGCAUGGUUCCACCUGUAGCCAUGGAGUCUGGUUUGGGCCUGAUGGCAGCCGUGCCGCCCAAACACCUUUUUCCCCACAAUUCAGAUUUCCCAACAGGUGAAAACAGGCGACAGGACCAUUACACCAUCCAACGAGGGGACUGGCGAUCGUUAAGGAGUUCAGGAGGAAGCACUGGGACUCCAAACGGUGGCGAGGCCACUUCCAGGUCCUUCUGACGACCCACACGGCUGAAAGAUCGCAGUGAGAGUGACUUGGAUCCACUCCACUGCAAGAAGGUCCCGGAUCCAACAGACGACCCUCCAUCUACAUCUACACCACACAAGAAAACCACCACUGACGAAAAGAAUUGAGAAGAACGACCCUCGCUGUGCUCACACACGCACUGAGGCGAGGCUGCGUUGACCGUUCAGCUAAAGGUGUGAGCCAAGCGCCGCCUGAAGCUGCGCCGGUGAAUCACACUAUCAGACCAUACAUCUACACACACGUUCCUGAGAAAACACACACACGAGCAGCCUUGAGUUGCCGACGCUGGACGACGUGUAGACUCUUCACAUCACGGGAGUGACAGUGACUCAGACGACAUUGGGAGGAAACCUGGCGGUGAUAACGAAUCCCAAGUGUCUCUGUGAUCAGCUGAUCACAACCGAAGAACCCCAACGAACUGUCAAUACUUCAACACACAGGUUGGAAACAAUCUAACGCUACUGUUCAAUAAGAAGAAGCAGAUUGUUACAGACAUCAAUUGUAACCUUGUUGUGUUAGACAUUUUAUGUUACUCUGAUUAUUGCCUUGAUCAUAUGAUGUUUCUAUGUAACUUUACACACUACUUUUGAAUGAGAAAAUUUCACAACAACAACAACAACGACACUGAGUUUAAAUAUCCUGAAGUUGACUUGGUGUUUAAUUUGCUCACAAUCACUUUAUUCACUGCUACAAUUAGUUUUAUCCUUCAUUUACAGAUGAAAGACAACACAAGCGGCAAUAUGCAUCAUCAUUCUGGUUAAAUCCCUGAAUCUCCUAUUCGCUCUAGACGCAAAUGUACAAUUAAAGAUCCGAAAGCAUUAAAUCUAUCUUAAGAAUAUAUGAAACAGAACCCCACCGGAAACGUAUGGCUAUCAUACAUUAAUGGUCUUUAUUACAUUACAAUUGAAUGGCCGUAGACACGUUGUUAGCAGAGAAAAGAGGCGUUUGUGUUAUGUUUGGAGACGCAUAUUGUACUUACAUCCUGAAUAACACUGAUUCUAAUGGUAAUGUGUCGAAGGCGCUCCACGGCCUUCAGAAUCUCAGCUAACUCUGGUAUAGGUUCUUUCCCUUGGAAUUGGCUAGACGAGAUGUCUGGAAAAUGGAAAUCUGUUCUCAUGUCUGCAGCUGUUUCCUUUAUAAUUGAGAUGGCUGUGAUUCUCUUGUUUGGUUUUUACGUUAUCCCACUGGUUAGAGGUCUCAUCAUGCGUGCGACCUCAGCAACACUCUCGUAUGAGAUGACACAAUGCACUAUGUUCAAAAACCCCAACUCUAAUUUACUUAAUGACUUUGACGAUGAUCUUAGGCUAUCUAAUCACAAAAUAUAAUCUGAUACAAAUAUGAUUAUGAGCUUAUUUUCUUCACAUGCCAAUACAGAAGUUAUUCUUGUAUAACUACCCACCAAAACAGCUCCCAACCUUUUGUCCCUAAGUUACCUGCAUUUUAUGUGAAGGUGUAUUUUGAAUCUUGAUGAGUUAAUACCCUUAUUGUUUCAUUUGCAAGGGUCUUUUAUUAUUACAGAAUGUGACGUUGACAAUUUUUAUUCUUUUAUGGGUUGAUUAAUGUGUAAUCAAAAGGGGGGAGUGUUAUGGGAAAAAUUGUCUCUUCCUUAUUUCUAUGUCUCUUCCUUACUUCUAUGCAGUUAUUAUAUGAUUUAUUACUUAUGUUCUGCAAUUAAUAUCUUAUGUUUUGUCUUACUGUAUGCAUUUGACAUUUCACCUAGAUUGUUCAAUGGUUGUCUCUGCCUGAUAGACUCUCAACUCUAGCUCCCAAACCCAAGGUCGGGGAGUUGUGUCUCUAUCUGUUGAGACUUGGUGCUCCUUUCUCACAGAUAGUUGGACGUCAGCGAUGCAGGUGUGAGAAUGUAAAUAUCUUCACACACACUGCGACAGGGAGGAGAUGGUGCAUGUAAUUUGAUUGGGUUAGAAAGACAUUCCACCCUAGUCGGACAGAGAAGCUAAAAGGCAGAAGCAACUUUAGGAUCGUGGGCUCUUUGCAUCACACCUUCGUGGUGUGUGCACUGAUCUCCCCAGCUGGUUUUUGGGUUGUUGAUGUGCACGAUCAACAUCCAUGCUUUUUAUUUGCUUUCCCCAUUAUUUUUAUUUUCUUUAUUAUUUCAAUAAAUCGCACAAAAGGACAA